GCCGGCCCUGGGCAUAGGCGAGGGGUGCGACCGCCUAGGGCCCAGGGCCAAAUGGGGCCCCAAUUUUUUUAUUUUUAUUGUUAUUAGUUUAUAUAAAUAAGACUUUUUAGUCAUAUAUUGGGCCCCAAUCAAUAAAAAAUUUGCAGUACAAGCCCAAAGACUCUAAUCUUAUUCCUUUGAAAAAGAUGGCCCACAAACACACAAUUGUAUGCAGUUAAAGGGGCCUUUUUUUUUCUCAUUCUGCCUAGGGCCCAUGAAAAGUCCGGAACG
rnacentral:lncRNA from 1 species